AUUGAACGCUGGCGGCAGGCCUAACACAUGCAAGUCGAACGAGUCGGGGACGGAUGAGUUAUUUCUGGGACACUGCCUGGUGGAGGGGGUUCACUACUGGAAACGGAAUCUAAUACCGCAUUCCAUCGGAUGUGCCCAGAUGGGAUUAUCUAGUAGGUGGGGUAAAGGCUCACCUAGGCGACGAUCCCUAGCUGGUCUGAGAGGAUGACCAGCCACACUGGAACGGAGACACGGUCCAGACUCCUACGGGAGGCAGCAGUGGGGAAUAUUGCACAAUGGGCGAAAGCCUGAUGCAGCCAUGCCGCGUGUAUGAAGAAGGCCUUCGGGUUGUAAAGUACUUUCAGCGGGGAGGCGUUACCAGCAGAAGAAGCACCGGCUAACUCCGUGCCAGCAGCCGCGGUAAUAC
rnacentral:rRNA from 1 species